UGCAGUCGACGAAGUCUUCGGACUUUAGUGGCGGACGGGUGAGUAACGCGUGAGAAUCUGCCUAUAGGUUGGGGACAACAGAUGGAAACGUCUGCUAAUACCCAAUGUGCCGAGAGGUGAAAGCUUUAGUGCCUGUAGAUGAGCUCGCGUCCGAUUAGCUAGUUGGUUAGGUAAGAGCUGACCAAGGCGACGAUCGGUAGCUGGUCUGAGAGGAUGAUCAGCCACACUGGGACUGAGACACGGCCCAGACUCCUACGGGAGGCAGCAGUGGGGAAUUUUCCGCAAUGGGCGAAAGCCUGACGGAGCAAUACCGCGUGCGGGACGAAGGCUUUUGGGUCGUAAACCGCUUUUGUUAGGGAAGAAGAACUGACGGUACCUAACGAAUCAGCAUCGGCUAACUCCGUGCCAGCAGCCGCGGUAAUACGGAGGAUGCAAGCGUUAUCCGGAUUUAUUGGGCGUAAAGCGUCCGCAGGUGGUUUAUCAAGUCUGCUGUUAAAGCGUGGGGCUUAACCCCAUAUAGGCAGUGGAAACUGAGAGACUAGAGUACGGUAGGGGUAGCGGGAAUUCCCAGUGUAGCGGUGAAAUGCGUAGAUAUUGGGAAGAACACCAGCGGCGAAGGCGCGCUACUGGGCCGAAACUGACACUCAUGGACGAAAGCUAGGGGAGCGAAAGGGAUUAGAUACCCCUGUAGUCCUAGCUGUAAACGAUGACAACUAGGUGUUGCGCGUAUCGACCCGGUGCAGUGCCGUAGCUAACGCGUUAAGUUGUCCGCCUGGGGGAGUACGCACGCAGGUGUGAAACUCAAAGGAAUUGACGGGG
rnacentral:rRNA from 1 species